AGCAGCAUGGCGCAGCACGGCAGCGCACGGGACUUGUAUUAUCCCAGUGAGAGGUUCAUGUACACCAAGUCGUCCCGAGGCCACUUGUUCGAAUCAAGUUGCUGCUA